rnacentral:tRNA from 1 species
GUGCGGCGGCGAAAGCCGAAGUGGUAUGAAACCUGGGGUCGCAGGUUCGAGCCCUGCCGGGGACGCCA